rnacentral:rRNA from 1 species
UACGUAGGGUGCGAGCGUUAAUCGGAAUUACUGGGCGUAAAGCGUGCGCAGGCGGUGGCUCAAGCCAGGCGUGAAAUCCCCGGCUUAACCUGGGAACUGCAUUUGUGACUGCACGGCUAGAGUGUGUCAGAGGGGGGUAGAAUUCCACGUGUAGCAGUGAAAUGCGUAGAGAUGUGGAGGAAUACCGAUGGCGAAGGCAGCCCCCUGGGAUAACACUGACGCUCAUGCACGAAAGCGUGGGGGAGCAAACAGG